AAAAAAAAAAAAAAAAAAGAAACUUGAGCUAUUCUGUUCUCUCCCUCUCUCUAACCCCUUUGCUUUUGGUAUUAUAGCUUACACUUGGAGCUGCAACUUGCACAAGUGUGUCAUAUCUUUUAAGCUUAGUGCUAUCAUUUCUGAUGCACACAAAAAAAUUCCGUUCAAAUGGAAGUUGAUGUCAAGAUGCACUGGCAGUUAUUCCCAAAAAAAAUUCAGAAAGUUGCCAAAUUAAACAAUUGAAGAUUUACUCUUGCAAAUAGAAGACCUGAUCUUAUCCUUUUGGUUUCUUAGUAACUUGUUCUUUUGCUGGCAAUUUCAUCAUAAUCAUUUGUGUCUUUUUUGCUGUCAUUAUCCACAUGUUAUAUUGCCACUCUCUCUCUCUCUCUCUAUACUAGUUCAGGCUUAAAGCUUCCGGGUCGUGGCCUGUGAUCCCGUUGUUUCUGGGUCUCCAGCAGCGUAUGUACUCUCCUGCUCUUUAAACUCUGUACCAUUUCAGUACUUCAAAUCCUCACUCUGUAAGUCACCAAUAUUGUUUAUCUUUUGGGCCUGAUGUGACUGCAGUUAACUUUCCGGCGAGAUUUGGCUGGAGAAUGGCAUAUAUGUGCGCUGACAGUGGAAAUCUAAUGGCAAUUGCCCAACAAGUUAUCAAGCAAAAACAGCAGCAAGAGCAACAGCAGCAGCAGCAUCACCACCACCAGCAACAGCAACUAUUAGGCCUUAAUUCUUUCCCUUUAAAUCCCUGGCCUCCUACAAUGUCUACUAGUCCCAAUCUGGGUUAUACUGGGAUCGCCGCUGCCGGUUUCACCGACCCCUUUCAGGUUCCCUCUGGCGGAGAUACGGGAGAACCUGGGUUUCAGUUCCCCCAGAUGGAGCACCACUCCACUGGCUUCAGGUUUUCGGAUUUCAGUGCUGGAGCAUCUGCUGAGUUCGAUUCGGACGAGUGGAUGGAUAGUUUGAUGGGUGGUGGAGACUCAACGGAUAGUUCGAAUCUACCCUCUAGUUGCGACGCGUGGCAAAACAAUGCUGAUUUUAGUCUCUACGGUCCUGAUCCAUUUGCCACCUGCCCAACGCGUCUCAGCGUGGCUUGCCCUUCGCCGUCCGAUCUCAACAGAGCCAUAUUCACAGAAACCCAGAAAAGCCCUAACCCACUUCAAGUCCAAGCCUGGGGUCCAUCUCCACCACCUCCUCCUCCGCAAGUGGUGGUGAAAGACACCAAGCUAGCCAAUCCUCCUCCACCAUCGACACUAAAAAACGAAGGAGUUGGUGCCUCUUCUAGUUCACCAGAAAUUGAGUCAGCACCAGCGCUCUUGAAAGCACUACUCGAGUGUGCUCGACUCGCUGAGUCAGAACCUGAGAAAGCAGUGAAAUCGCUGAUUAAGGUCAGGGAGUCGGUAUCCGAACAAGGAGAUCCAACUGAGAGAGUGGCCUUUUACUUCACCGAAGCUUUAUAUGGCAGAGUUUCUCUACAAGCAGAUAAAAGCUUGACCAUGUUCGAUACUACCUGCGAGGACUUCACUCUCUCUUACAAAGCGUUAAACGAUGCAUGUCCUUAUUCGAAGUUUGCUCAUUUAACAGCGAACCAGGCAAUACUCGAGGCCACGGAGAGGGCAAGCAAGAUUCACAUAGUCGAUUUCGGGAUCGUUCAAGGCGUUCAGUGGGCUGCUCUUUUACAAGCUCUGGCUACUCGCUCUGCCGGAAAACCUGCAAGAAUUCGGAUCUCUGGUAUACCUGCUCCAGUUCUGGGAAAAUCUCCAGGGGCUUCUCUGUUUGCCACUGGAAAUAGGCUUCGUGAUUUUGCAAAGCUUCUAGAUUUGAACUUCGAGUUCGAGCCGAUACUGACUCCAAUUCAUGAGUUGAACGAAUCCAGCUUCCGGGUUGAUCCUGAUGAGGUUUUAGCAGUAAAUUUCAUGCUUCAGUUGUAUAAUUUACUGGACGAGACUCCAGUUGGUGUAGAGACUGCUCUAAGGAUGGCUAAAUCGUUGAACCCGAAGAUUGUUACUUUAGGCGAGUAUGAAGCGUGUUUGAAUCGGAUUGGGUACGUAAACCGAUUCAAAAACGCUCUGAGAUACUACUCUGCUCUGUUUGAAUCUCUUGAGCCGAACUUGAGCAGAGACUCACCAGAGAGACUCCAAGUUGAGAAAUUGUUACUGGGUCGCAGAAUUGCUGGUGUUAUUGGGCCAGAGGAAGCGGGAACUAGAAGGGAACGUAUUGAGGAUAAAGAGCAGUGGAGGAUUUUGAUGGAAAGUUGUGGUUUUGAAUCAGUUGCACUUAGCCAUUAUGCCAUGAGUCAGGCUAAGAUACUUUUGUGGAACUACAAUUACAGUUCUUUGUAUUCUUUGGUAGAAUCUCAACCUGGGUUUCUGUCUCUAGCCUGGAAAGAGGUGCCACUGCUCACUGUUUCUUCAUGGCGUUGAUGGAGCAUGGAUUUGCCUUGCUUUGGUAUUAGUUUCCACCUGGUAUUUUUUCUCUGGUGUGGAACAAAUUAGUGUCCAUACGCCAUUAUUUGAAACCAGUCUUGGCCUAGUUAUAGUUUGUUAUUUUUAAUUGCAAUUAUUAUGCAUUUAGAAACCCUUUGCAGCUUUCUGGGACAAAUUAAUCACUUAGUUGUUAGUCUUUGAGUUUGGUCUUUAGAUAUAUGGUGUUAUUG
rnacentral:misc_RNA from 1 species